UUGAAACUUGGUCAAAGUGAUGGACAUGGUGAGGUUCCAGCUAUAGAGUACUCGCAUAUCCCUUCGUUCUCGGACGACGUCAUUUCGGGCACUAAGGUAAAGUAAACUGUGGGCAUAUAUCAAGUACAAAGCAUGCUGAGUUUGUCUGAGAUUCUGAAAAGUACAAAGCAUUGGGGAGCAGAAGAUGAUUCGAGAAGCCAAUGGCGACCCCAACAAGGCUAACAAGCCGUUCAUGCGCUCCUCAUCGAGCAACCCCAAUAAAUAUUGAUUUCUUCACAUAAUAAACACCCAAUGGAAACCAAGGCCACCCAGAGUUCAUCAGUUGCUUCUUCUACGACGUCGUUUGGGAGCUCGAAGAAGAUGGUGUGGGUUUGGACGGAGAGCAAGCAGGUCAUGAC